AACGAACGCUGGCGGCGUGGAUAAGACAUGCAAGUCGAACGGGACAUUUUUAGUAGUAAUAUUAGAGAUGUUCAGUGGCGAACGGGUGCGUAACACGUGGAUACAUUCCGGAAAGCGGGGGAUAGCCCAGGGAAACUUGGAUUAAUACCGCAUGUGGUCGCAAGACUAAAGACGGGGAUCGAAAGACCUGUCACUUUCCGAUUGGUCCGAGGCCUAUCAGCUAAUUGGCGGGGUAAAAGCCCACCAAGGCGACGAAGGGUAGCUGGGCUUAGAGGACGAGCAGCCAGACUGGAACUGAGACACGGUCCAGACACCUACGGGUGGCAGCAGGCGAGAAGCUUUCACGAUGGGGGCAACCCUGAUGGAGCGACGGCGCGUGGAGGAUAAGGUCUUCGGAUUGUAAACUCCUGUCAUGCGAGAACAAGGUUGCAGGGCUAAUACCCGUGCAAAUUGAUGGUACCGCAAGAGGAAGAGACGGCUAACUCUGUGCCAGCAGCCGCGGUAA
rnacentral:rRNA from 1 species